rnacentral:lncRNA from 1 species
CGCACCUGGAAACUGCAUCCCCUGGACUGGCUGGGUUUGAAAAUAUGUAGUUAUUUGUCAAACCACCAAUGUUUAUUUUCAUUCAGUUAUUAAGAAAUAAAAAGGGGUAGAUAAUUUUCACUCCCUGCCUGUGCCUGUCCGGCAGGACUCGGCAGCAGGUCGAUCCGGCGCAGACUCAUCUGAGUGCGACGUAGCGGCAGCCAGUCACAUCGUGUCCUCCGGAGGCCGCCUGCUGCUGCGCGGAGCCAGCGUCCAGGACCUGGGGCCGGGGGACCAGAGCUGGGACAGGCCCAGCCCCUGGGCGGCAUAGCUAUGUGGCCCCGGGAACACUGGCUCUCCAAGGCACAAGGCGUUUUCACCGGCUGCGUCCCAUUCAGUCUUCCCAGCAUGAUCCCAGCUCGGAGAAGCUGAGGCAAUAAAAGUGAAUUGAUUCAGAGAGAACGAGGAUGAGAUUUGCGUUGGGCAAGGAGCAG